GUUCUUGAUGACCUCAUCCACAACCUUGAACAUGUCACAGUCACUGCUCAACACAUCAUCUAAAUCCAUCUUGAGCCGCUUGGCUUCUGGGGGUCCCUCAGCCUCCUUCUCAACACCUUCAGUGGAGUUGACGAACGUCAUCUCGGCCUUGGCUUUCUUCAAGCUACAACGAAUAAAGCAGCAUUGACGCAGAAAAAGUGCAUCAGUUUGCCAGGCCAAGUGUUUUGUCAGGCCACCGUUAGGGUGCGAGCUAAGCAGCAAGCCGCCGGCACCGUCGACGGACCGAUAGUCGACGGGCACUCUUUGGUUUCUUUGGGUUCUUACUUGGUCGGGACAUAUUCGUUCUCCUGCCUGCUGGCGAGAGCUUUUCGACACCCACCGAAUGAUGACGCCGGUACGCAGGUCCGUGAUAUGAAAUUCUUAACGUACCCACGGCCAACACUACAAGAUCAUCAGGGGUACAUCGCCGUCACCGCGACAGCCUUUGCAGAUCACAUAGCAUCGAACUGAAACCGUAGCCCUAGAUGACAGGCACCUCACCGAACUUUAUGUGUAGCGUACAAUAGCGUCGGACACUACUUAUAACCACAUAAACAAGAUAAAACGUAAAACAAAAAGGAAGUACACGUGAAAUCGAGCCCAAAUUCAGUUUCUUUGAUAUCAGCGCCACCUCCCAGGAAGUUCCGGAAGUUGCAACGCCUACACUACAAAUAUAACCACUCGGUGGCGUUGAUGGCGCGAUGUGAUUUCGUAGAUUUUGUUCAUGAGUUCAAAUCCCGCAGGUGCAGCUGAGAAAUAACUUUUUUUUUCUUUACUAACGCUACACAGACAUAUCAAUAGUCAUUUCUUGAAGACAGUGGUG